UUUAAAUGUAUCAUAAUUUUUCGUGUCUAAUUUUAAUCGUCCGUUUUAUUUUAUUUUUUUAUAAUUAAUAUUAUAUAAUUAUUAUAUGAUAAAAACAUAAAUAAUACUUUAUGUGUGACUUAUUUUUUUGGUUUUUUAAGUUUUUUAAAUAAGAUAUAUCAUUAAAGUUAGACAUGGAAACACAUCAGUUAUA
rfam:Oryza nivara chromosome 5, whole genome shotgun sequence.